rnacentral:rRNA from 1 species
CGGGAUGCAGCAGUGGGGAAUAUUGGGCAAUGGACGCAAGUCUGACCCAGCGACGCCGCGUGCGGGAUGAAGGCCUUCGGGUUGUAAACCGCUUUCAGCAGGGAAGAAGCGAAAGUGACGGUACCUGCAAAAGAAGCACCGGCUAACUAUGUGCCAGCAGCCGCGGUAAUACAUAGGGUGCAAGCGUUGUCCGGAAUUAUUGGGCGUAAAGAGCUCGUAGGUGGUUCGUCACGUCGGAUGUGAAAAUCUGGGGCUCAACCCCAGACCUGCAUUCGAUACGAGCGAGCUAGAGUUUGGUAGGGGAGACUGGAAUUCCUGGUGUAGCGGUGGAAUGCGCAGAUAUCAGGAGGAACACCAAUGGCGAAGGCAGGUCUCUGGGCCAAUACUGACACUGAGGAGCGAGAGCGUGGGGAGCGAACAGGAUUAGAUACCCUGGU